UUUAUGGCAAGGAUACUCUGAAUGUUCCCUAGUCAAGAACAACCGUGUCUUCCAUGAUUGGCACCAUUGUCAGGAUAUCAUGCCUGGAGACACAGCAGCCAUCCUGUAGCCUUGAGAACAAAAGUCACUCA